rnacentral:rRNA from 1 species
CGUGUAGGCGGUUUGGCAAGUCGAGUGUGAAAUCCCACGGCUCAACCGUGGAACUGCGCUCGAAACUGCCUUACUUGAGUGCGGGAGAGGUGUGCGGAAUUCCUGGUGUAGCGGUGGAAUGCGUAGAUAUCAGGAAGAACACCGGUGGCGAAGGCGGCACACUGGCCCAGCACUGACGCUGAGGCGCGAAGGCGUGGGGAGCGAACG